AUUACAGAGUUCAUGCCCUCCGGGUAGAUCUCCCACCCACUGUUAUCACUACUCUCGUUGCUUUGGCGGGCCGCUGGGCCCUGCCCGGCCGCCGGCCCCGGCUGGCGCGUGCCCGCCAGAGACCUCACAGACUCUGAAUGUUAGUGUCGUCCGAGUAACUAUACAAUCGUUAAAACUUUCAACAACGGAUCUCUUGGUUCUGGCAUCGAUGAAGAACGCAGCGAAAUGCGAUAAGUAAUGCGAAUUGCAGAAUUCAGUGAGUCAUCGAAUCUUUGAACGCACAUUGCGCCCUGUGGUAUUCCGCAGGGCAUGCCUGUUCGAGCGUCAUUUCAACCCUCAAGCCUCGCUUGGUGUUGGGCCCUGCCCGCCGCGGCCGGCCCUAAAGACAGUGGCGGCACCGCCUGGCCCUCAGCGUAGUACAGCUCUCGCUCCAGGGUCCGGCGGCAGCCUGCCAGAACCCCCAACUCUGUGGUUGACCUCGGAUCAGGUAGGGAUACCCGCUGAACUUAAGCAUAUCAAUAANNGGAG
rnacentral:rRNA from 1 species